UGAUGGUCUGGAAGGCGAGGAGAACCAAGAUCAGCAGCCUCCGGAAUUUUUCAUUGCUCGUUGCUCACCACAAACAUGCUGUUCCGGAGGGCAGCAGAAAGCCAUGAGAAUGGCAAGAUAAAGCUCAGCACGAGGCCACGGAGAUGCAGCAGAGGAAGUAACUGGCCACAAAGAAGCUGUUCAACAUGUAUGAGGCUGCACAGGUCACUGCUAUUUCAGCGAAAGUCAAAUGCAGAUGGGCAGGUCUGACAUGCAGAAGCUAUUUUCCAUAGCCAAUGAUAAAGAGCUAUGUGGUUGCUAAAGAGUAUGUGGUCUCUUGACGUUUUUUUUCCACAGAACUGGCAUUCAUUUGGUUACAACAGACAGUUAAGUCUAUGAUGGGCGUUGGCCUCAGAUGAAUGAAGAUGUUGAAGUAUUUGAGCAAUGUUCCUUUUUAAAACCAUGCAAAUUCACAAAAUGAAUGGAAACAGGGGCAGCAUGUUUUUUAAAGGAAGAGCUACAGAAGAGCAUGAUCCAAAAAUCCAUAAAAAUCAGAAAAAUCCCCAAACGAUGAAAAUCCCUGAAACAAGUUAUCCUGUGAUCACAGCAUUGCUGGCAACAUCAAGUUUUAAUCGAGUUUGUUAUUUUUGUCUCACUUAUUGAGUUUGUUCCUUGUACCUAGUCCUUUCCACACCCCCACUAUCUCUUAACAGCUUGUUUACUUUCUAUCAUAACUUGCAGCAGAUCUUUUUCCAUUGCUUUUUAAAAAUCAUUUCUACAACCUUCCAUUCACCUUGUUCUAUCAUUCUUAGCAGCUCAUUAUGCUUUAUUCUGCCUUUUGAGUCAUGUUAUUUGAUAUUUGCACUCUGAUUUAGGCUAUCACUAUCACCAGAAAAGCUGAUCCAUAGCUUCCAUAAAAACUACAGUUGAGGAUACAUCAC
ensembl:lncRNA